rnacentral:rRNA from 1 species
UACAGAGGUGGCAAGCGUUGUUCGGUAUUACUGGGCGUAAAGGGCGCGUAGGCGGCCAUCUAAGUCAGACGUGAAAUCCCCCGGCUUAACCUGGGAACUGCGUCUGAUACUGGACGGCUUGAGUAUGGGAGAGGGAUGUAGAAUUCCAGGUGUAGCGGUGAAAUGCGUAGAUAUCUGGAGGAAUACCGGUGGCGAAGGCGGCAUCCUGGACCAUUACUGACGCUGAGGCGCGAAAGCUAGGGGAGCAAACGGG